rnacentral:rRNA from 1 species
CACGUAGGGUGCGAGCGUUGUCCGGAAUUAUUGGGCGUAAAGAGCUCGUAGGCGGUGUGUCGCGUCGGCCGUGAAAACCUGCAGCUUAACUGUGGCUUGCGGUCGAUACGGGCAUCACUGGAGUUCGGCAGGGAGACUGGAAUUCCUGGUGUAGCGGUGAAAUGCGCAGAUAUCAGGAGGAACACCGAUGGCGAAGGCAGGUCUCUGGGCGAUUAACUGACGCUCGAGGUGACGAAAGCUACGGGAGCGAACAGG